CCUACGGGGGGCAGCAGUGGGGAAUAUUGGACAAUGGGGGGAACCCUGAUCCAGCGACGCCGCGUGAGUGAAGAAGUAUUUCGGUAUGUAAAGCUCUAUCAGCAGGGAAGAAAGAAAUGACGGUACCUGACUAAGAAGCCCCGGCUAACUACGUGCCAGCAGCCGCGGUAAUACGUAGGGGGCAAGCGUUAUCCGGAUUUACUGGGUGUAAAGGGAGCGUAGACGGCGAUGCAAGUCUGAAGUGAAAGGCGGGGGCCCAACCCCUGGACUGCUUUGGAAACUGUAUGGCUGGAGUGCAGGAGAGGUAAUCGGAAUUCCUUGUGUAGCGGUGAAAUGCGUAGAUAUAAGGAAGAACACCAGUGGCGAAGGCGGAUUACUGGACGAUAACUGACGGUGAGGCGCGAAAGCGUGGGGAGCAAACAGGAUUAGAUACCCCAGUAGUC
rnacentral:rRNA from 1 species